rnacentral:lncRNA from 10 species
UCUUCAGGAAACACAAAGUACCAGAGCACGUUCCUGGUGCAGAAGAUGCAACAGAAAGUGGGAUGGGUAACCACCACUAAGAGUUUGGCCAGGUGCGGUGGCUCAUGCCUGUAAUCCCAGCACUUUGGGAGGCCGAGGCAGUCGGAUCACCUGAUGUUAGAAGUUCGAGACCAGCCUGACCAACAAUGAGAAACCCCAUCUCUACUAAAAAUAUAAAAUUAGCUGGGCGUGGUGGUGCAUGCCAGUAAUCCCAGUUACUUGGGAGGCUGAGGCAGAAUUGCUUGAACCUGGGAGGUGGAGGUUGUGGUGGGCUGAGAUCGCACCACUGCACUCCAGCCUGGGCAACAAGAGUGAAACUCUGUCUCAAAUAAAAAAAAGAGAGUCGGAUGCACAUUUUUUCCAGAUAUUUCUCUAUGCCUUUACAUAGAUAUAUGGUAGGUGGGAAAUGUAUACCAGAGGGAGAAAUCAGGAGGGAAAUAUAUAAUAAGCUUUUCUUUGUAUGGAAGGAGUGCAGCAUCAAAUUUAGUUAGUAUAGGUAAAAUCAACAAGACCUUGCAAGAGACUUAAGGGGAGAAAACAACCAAGGAAUGGUUUGAAUUAUUUUAAGUACAAGUGUUAGAACAGACACAAGCAAGAAAGGGAUUUGGCCAACUAGAUUACAGCUCUUGGUAAAAGCAGCAAUCUCAUAACCCAUUCUCCAUUGCUCCAGCUACAUACCAUAUCCCCAGUGUACAGUAAUGACAUUCUAGUUUUGGGGGUGGCUACAGACUCCAGUUAGGUUUACUUUGGUAAUAGAGUUAUUCACUCUAUUUCUAUCCUUAUGUGUGAAUGGUGUGGGGAGAAGUUUUGUAGGGGUUUGUGCCAUACACACA